GACAGAGGUGCCGAGCGUUAGGCGGAAUCACUGGGCUUAAAGCGUGUGUAGGCGGAUCUGUAAGUACCUUGUGAAAUCCCACGGCUCAACCGUGGAACUGCUUGGUAUACUGCGGAUCUUGAGCCACCUAGGGGCGAGCGGAACAAGUGGUGGAGCGGUGAAAUGCGUAGAGAUCGGGAGGAACACCAGUGGCGAAGGCGGCUACCUGGACCAGCACUGACACUGAGGCACGAAAGCGUGGGGAGCAAACAGG
rnacentral:rRNA from 1 species